ACACAUGCACCUCGAACGGGAAGCAAGGCUUCGGCCUUGUGGAGAGUGGCGCACGGGUGAGUAACGCGUGGGUAUCUGCCUCGAAGUGGGGGACAACCGCUGGAAACGGCGGCUAAUACCGCAUACGCCCUUAGGGGGAAAGCUUUAUGCGCUUCGAGAUGAACCCGCGUUGGAUUAGCUAGUUGGUGUGGUNACGGCGCACCAAGGCAUCGAUCCAUAGCUGGUCUGAGAGGAUGAUCAGCCACACUGGAACUGAGACACGGUCCAGACUCCUACGGGAGGCAGCAGUGGGGAAUAUUGGACAAUGGGCGCAAGCCUGAUCCAGCCAUGCCGCGUGAAUGAAGAAGGCCUUAGGGUUGUAAAGUUCUUUCAAGUGGUGACGAUGAUGACGGUAACCACAGAAGAAGCCCCGGCUAACUCCGUGCCAGCAGCCGCGGUAAUACGGAGGGGGCAAGCGUUGUUCGGAAUUACUGGGCGUAAAGGGCCGCGCAGGCGGCGUCGCUAGUCAGGUGUGAAAUCCCCAGGCUUAACCUGGGAACUGCA
rnacentral:rRNA from 1 species